rnacentral:rRNA from 1 species
UACGUAGGGUGCAAGCGUUGUCCGGAAUUAUUGGGCGUAAAGAGCUCGUAGGCGGUCUGUCGCGUCGGAUGUGAAAAUCCAGGGCUCAACCCUGGACCUGCAUUCGAUACGGGCAGACUAGAGUUCGGCAGGGGAGACUGGAAUUCCUGGUGUAGCGGUGAAAUGCGCAGAUAUCAGGAGGAACACCAGUGGCGAAGGCGAUCAUCUGGGGUUGUUCUGACGCUGAGGAGCGAAAAGCUAGGGGAGCAAACGGGG